rnacentral:misc_RNA from 1 species
GAUGAAGAACGCAGCGAAAUGCGAUACGUAAUGUGAAUUGCAAAUUCAGUGAAUCAUCGAGUCUUUGAACGCACAUUGCGCACCCUGGUAUUCCGGGGGGCAUGCCUGUCCGAGCGUCAUUGCUGCCCUCAAGCACGGCUUGUGUGUUGGGCCCCGUCCUCCGAUCCCGGGGGACGGGCCCGAAAGGCAGCGGCGGCACCGCGUCCGGUCCUCGAGCGUAUGGGGCUUUGUCACCCGCUCUGUAGGCCCGGCCGGCGCUUGCCGAUCAACCCAAAUUUUUAUCCAGGUUGACCUCGGAUCAGGUAGGGAUACCCGCUGAACUUAAGCAUAUCAAUAAGCGGAGGA